UACAGAGGUCCCAAGCGUUGUUCGGAUUCACUGGGCGUAAAGGGUGCGUAGGUGGUUGGGUAAGUCUGGUGUGAAAUCUCGGGGCUCAACCCCGAAACUGCACUGGAUACUGCCUUGCUCGAGUACUGGAGAGGAGAUUGGAAUUUACGGUGUAGCAGUGAAAUGCGUAGAUAUCGUAAGGAAGACCAGUGGCGAAGGCGAAUCUCUGGACAGUUACUGACACUGAGGCACGAAGGCCAGGGGAGCAAACGGG
rnacentral:rRNA from 1 species